UACGUAGGGUGCGAGCGUUGUCCGGAAUUAUUGGGCGUAAAGAGCUCGUAGGCGGUCUGUCGCGUCGGUCGUGAAAACUUGGGGCUUAACCCUGAGCUUGCGGUCGAUACGGGCAUGACUGGAGUUCGGUAGGGGAGACUGGAAUUCCUGGUGUAGCGGUGAAAUGCGCAGAUAUCAGGAGGAACACCAGCGGCGAAGGCGGCGCUCUGGGCCGGUACUGACGCUGAGGAGCGAAAGCGUGGGUAGCAAACAGG
rnacentral:rRNA from 1 species